rnacentral:tRNA from 1 species
UCCCUGGUGGUCCAGUGGUUAGGACUCCAUGCUUUCACUGCUGAAGGCUCAGGUUCAAUCCCUGGUCAGGGAA